rnacentral:rRNA from 1 species
UGGGGAAUAUUGCACAAUGGGCGCAAGCCUGAUGCAGCCAUGCCGCGUGUGUGAAGAAGGCCUUCGGGUUGUAAAGCACUUUCAGCGGGGAGGAAGGCGAUAAGGUUAAUAACCUUGUCGAUUGACGUUACCCGCAGAAGAAGCACCGGCUAACUCCGUGCCAGCAGCCGCGGUAAUACGGAGGGUGCAAGCGUUAAUCGGAAUUACUGGGCGUAAAGCGCACGCAGGCGGUCUGUCAAGUCGGAUGUGAAAUCCCCGGGCUUAACCUGGGAACUGCAUUCGAAACUGGCAGGCUAGAGUCUUGUAGAGGGGGGUAGAAUUCCAGGUGUAGCGAUGAAAUGCGUAGAGAUCUGGAAGAAUACCGGUGGCGAAGGCGGCCCCCUGGACAAAGACUGACGCUCAGGUGCGAAAGCGUGGGGAGCAAACAGG